rnacentral:misc_RNA from 1 species
UAGUGUGUAUAUUUCUAUGCUAUCUGUUUAAUCCUUGAUAGGGAACUAAAUUAAAUCUCUGCUAAUUUAGUGUACGAAAAUCGAGUUAAUGCUCGACGUCAUUUUGUGUCUUAACUUCUGAGGAAUAAGCAUAUUCAUAGAAUGAAGACUGCUGAAUUUGGGAUUUCCCUCAUUGUUAGUGAAAGUUUCUGUGAAACAGGGCAAGUGAGCCAGUGAGAGACCGGUUUGACGUGGUUUAAGGAUCGCCCUGGAUAUAAUAACACAAUACAAAACAAAGGGGCAUAAAAAAAUAGAUAGGUUCAUGUAAGAGGCAGAACUUGAUGACGAGACUUCAUAAGGAAGGUAUUAUGCUGUCAUCCAUUGAUCAAAAAGAUGACCAACCCAAAUGGGUUGAGGAACUUUUGAAGAGGAAGCGGACUUUCUACAGGCCAGUGAUUUCGGACCCUGCUAUCGAGAAACGUUAUGUUGUAACAACUACCGAACCAUGGAAGUCUUCUCACCCCCAGGCUAAGGCAGACUUUCACAGCACGCGUAAGCAAAGUGCGGGUGGGCGGUCUUUUCAGCCACCAGUAUCGCAACCGCUACUAUCUAGCACGACUUCUCGACCUUAUAUUGGGCCUAGUGGUCAAACAAGGACCAGUGCAGGAGAAACCAGUUUAUCUGUCGCUAUCAAACUUUCAGAGCCGUCAGUUAGAAACGUAAAGCAAAUGCAUGUCGAGAAUCGAAGUAACGUAAUGAAGGUACCAAACACAGCUAGAAUUAAUUCGGAUUCCUGUAUCCGAGAAAAUUACAUUAAGGGUCACAAAGAAAUUUGUAAAAGUAAGAAACUAAGCGACAGAGACAACUCGCAUGAUCGAUCCCACGUGUUAUCUCCGCCAUCUAGCACUGUUAGUUUAACCUCCUCUUCGCAUUUUAUGGAAAAAGAUGAGAAGGAACUUGAGUGGGGACCUGGAAUAGUGAAUAAGCUUAAAUCCAAGUUCGUUGGUGAAAUAGAGUAUAAUAGCGCUCAAGAAAACGCUGGGAAUAGGAAAUUAAUGGCUGGCGUAGAAACAACUGAAAAUCUAAGACAAUCAAUCCAAGUGACUACUAACACGACCACAUCAGAAGAGGCAUAUUUUGCAGAUAAUAAAUCUGAAAAAAACUCAUUUAAACCCGAUAAUUUUAGAAUUUCCAGAAGUAGAGAUAAUAUGCUCAGUGAGUCAGCUAAGCUUCUACAGCAUAGCCACAAGUUCAAGCAAACAAAUCACAGAAGACCACCACCCGUUAAAAAUCUUUCUUCUUCCCUUCGUGAUCAAGUAUCCAGUUCAGUGCUCAUUAACGAAAGCGUAGUAAUCGUAGAACAUUCUGCGAAAACUCGAAGAUCUGGUCAGUGCUCACCGAGUGCUAGUAUUCAGGAAGAAAAUAGAAAUAAGUCUACUUUUAAUUUAAAUGACGAUGACUUUCGUAAACGUGAUACUGUCAGUACCUAUAAACGAAUUUUUGAAUUACCAAAUAAUAAUAUUAAUUCUCAUCAACAGAUGAAACUCAAAAGACCACCAAUGGUGAAUAGUCGAUUGGAAAACAUAACCUCUCGACGCCCAGUAACGUUGAUUGUUACACCUCCAACCCACUCACAAAAAGAGUUACUUGACAAAUCGGUCACCAAACGAACCAAUGACAGAUAUAAUCAGAAAAGUGGGCUAUUCAAGUUGGAGACAUACAAAAAUGACGUAAAAGUAAGUUUCAAACCCCAAAAUACUUUCAAAAGGAGUCCUUCAGUUACUUGUGACGAGGGAGAAACAAAAACCAGUGAAACUAAAGAAAAUAGCAAAGAUAUUUCGCCAGGACACUGCAGAGCAAGUCGAGAACUUGAAAAUGGUGUGAGGUUUAUUUCCAGUGAAGCUUUGGAAAGAAUUCGAUCUCAGGGAUCGACCAUGGUGUUUGGAGGAAAGAGUGCUCCGUUAGUAAAACCGAGGUCUAAGCACGUGCCUAGUCAAAGAUCCGUAACACGAACAAAAAAAACCAAGGCGCCUCCUGUUCCUAAACGAGAACUAUCGUCAAAUUUACAAAUCCCAGUAUGCAGUUCAAUAACCAAAAAUACAGACAUUGCACUAGUAGCAACGGUCUCUCCAUCACCAAAGUAUCAGCCCAAAGAGCCUUUGAAACCUCGUGAAAAUCAACCACCAGCUGUUGAUCCUAUCUUAAGAUAUGAAAAUAAGCAUAAGCCCGUUAUUCAUAAAACUAGUGAAGCCGAAAAGUUUCCAGAAGCUGUGAAAGAGUACUGUUCAACAUUAUACUCUACCAAAACACCCGAUGUUUCACGAAAUCAACAAGAAGAAAAAUUCGUUGGAGAAGAAGGUGACGUCGAAGAAGUUCUUCGACCAAGUACACUACUUGGUAAUAAGGCUUCUUUAUGGAAAAAUCCUCCUCCUAACAAUACAAUAGUUUUUGAUUUUCGAGGGAAGAAUGUACAGGCAAACUUAGCUCUGAAACCUCAAUUUUGUGGCAAAUCUUCUGACCCUGUUUUUCAGAAGAAGGCACUAACAGGUAGUGAUUUGUAUAAUGGUAUAGUGUUUGACGGUAAUUUUGGCGAGAGUCAAGACUACGAAGACGAGGAAUCCAGCUACAGAGAAGUAGAUGUUCGUCAAAACUUCCCACCGGUUUCAGGACUUGCAUUUAUUGGUGAGAACACAAAAGUAGGAAAAAGUGCCUUUCUUACGACUAGGAAUAAGAAGCUGAGAAUCCAGUUUGACGAGGAGCCUACAACAUUCGUUUAUCCUGCUGGAACAUCGCACAUACAAAACGACCUUGAAGGUUCUCCAGACUCUAAUCUCUUGAACAGAGAUGCAACAACUCAAAUUUCAACUGAAAUCAGUGGUGUAACGGACACCUUCAGCAGCUACACACCGAGCAUGCUCAGUACCGGCAAUAAAUUUCAACUGGGACUUAGCCGCCCCAUUCACCGACGGCCACCCUCUUUACAUUCUAAUGGACCAACUAGUCCCUUGAAAAACGUUCCGAAACCAGCUGAAACUGAUGAAAGUACGUCUUGGUCAACGUCUUCGUCGGAUCUUCUAUUCUAAGGUGAAUCUGUAAUGGCAGACUUACCCGGAGCAACUAUUCUACACACGUGACUGGUCAUUCCUAUCAAUCUCAUUCAAGCAUAAGGGAGGCUGUAACCUCGUGAUAUCACCUGACGUACCAUUAGAGGAAACUGUUGACCACCUUCAUGUAUAAGGUGCAGCUUUACAACUAUAUCACCCAUGGACAGACCAGGUGUUAUCUCUAAAGGAAUGACAAAGAUCAAAGGUCCUCGAAGCCCAUAACUUCCAUGCCAUUUUAAUACAAAAUUUAUAUACAACAGACAAUGUGAAAAGAUGGAAAUAAGACAAUAUUUUUCUAAUAUAAGAGAUUUUCUGAAGUGAUUCCAAACUUAAAGGGAGUAUUGGAGACGUCUAAUUGUGCAUGUUGUGGAAUACGAACUUCAUCACAAUUAUUUAAAGCAGGGGUUCACAAAGGCCCCCACAAAACAUUUCUUAUACCGACUGAGCCCCACCCAACAAAUUUAUAGAUACUUAUUACCUAAAUAGUAUUGUGCAUCUUGUGUAUUUGCUACAGCUCCUGACACUUUCCUGCGACCCCUCUGGGGGUUUGCAGCCCCGAGUUUGAGAACCCUAAUUUAGAGCAUCAGAUGUGAUUUUAUAAACUCUAAUAUAUGUAUGAAAUUAGCAAACUGUAACAUUAUCUUGUAAAUGUACAGCUGUUGGAGAAAAGUAAACUCAGCUGUUAGAUCAUGGAUUUAGGUGAAUAGGAAAAAAUAAUUUAGUGUGAAAAAUAUUUUAACAGUUAAUUUAACAAAAUUUCAUUUAAUAAAUUGACAAAAUCGGUCCAAGAUAUAUAUAAAUAUAUGCUGCAAUAAAGGUGAUAUAAUUAAAGCUUACGAAUUUAAAGAUUCCAAUCAUUAUUUUGAAGAUAAAAUUUACUUUUUUUUUGUUCCGUCUUUAUUUUUACAGAUUAUCAUACCAGAAAAUGAUUUCGAUCAGUUCCGCAAUUCUAUAUACACAUCCACUAACUAGUCCUUAAUUUACGUAUUGAAAAGUAUUAGUAGCAAUCCGAGUUCUUCGCGAGUUUGCAUAAAAACGUCCAAAGUUAGGAAUGUGUGAACGAUGGUGUAAAAUCAUGUUGUGGUAUCUUGAGGUAAAAGCCAUUAAUUUAAUGUUUCACGUGAAAAUUGAUUUACAUGAACUGUCGUUUCCACUGAAUUGUUAGUGAGGAAAUUGUUUUUUAUUUAUUUAUGUUCAAAAGUUACUUGUAUACAUUACUCGAGUGUAUUUUGUAUGAUUAUAUUAUAUCAGAUGUUUUUAAGAUGAGAAAAAAAAUCUUGUAACACAAAAUUAGGUAAAUACGAAUUAGUCAAGAAAUCACAGUGAAAAUAUUAAACGAUGAUGUCAGAAUUAAUGAUGACUCAAAAUUAAGACUUUUUGAUUUUCUGAAUUUACUUCAGCACUAGAAAAGUGGUAAGCCAAGCCUGUUCCGCUAUUUGGCCGUUUAAGUCAUUAUCAAUUUUGUGAUUUAAUGCCCAAAUAUUUUUGUUUUGUUUCGUUUUCGUGUUUGGUUGCCCCUGGCGGGACGUGAAAAGUUUCAUUUCGUCAGUUUUUAUUGCUAGCUUUCUGAUCUUAGAAGCCUUCCAGUGGCUCAGAGGUAAGGCUGAUGGCUUAUAACACUAACAGCGGGUUUCAAUACCCGUGGUGGGCAGAGCACAGAUGGCCCAUUGUGUAGCUUUGCGCUUAGCAACAAACAAACAGAUCUUGAAACAGCUGGAAUAGAAAGUUUUCUAACGUAGUAAUAUUAUCGUAGUUUUAAAAACAAUUUUUAUGUAUGUUUGUUUGUUUGUAACUAUGCUCAAAGCUACACAAUGGACAAUUUGUGCUCUGCCCACUACGGGUAUCGAAACCCGGUUUCUAGCAUUUUAAGUCCGCAGCCAUACUCUGUGCCACUGGGGAGCCAAUUUUUAUGUAAGAAAUAAAAAGCUGGAUAAUAUCUGAAUACUAUGCUGUCAGUAACUUGCAGAAUACGAUUUUCCCGAUGAUCGAAAGGAUUGGUUACUGAUAAAAUGUAUGUAUGCAUGACGUGUGAAAUAAAAGCUUGAAAUACAACUGUUUAUAACACCAGUUACAAGUUUAUUGUUUUGACAAAAAGUGAAAAUUUGUUUGGAAUUAUGAACUAAAUGUAACCAGUAUUAAUCAGCUUGUAACAAUUUCCAUAAAUGCUAUACUACACAAAAGUUUUUGGUGACACUCAGUUCAUCCUUUCCAACAUCAGCUUGUUUUAAAGAAGUGUUUUUAGUUGAAUAUAUUUUAUUGUAUUAACGAAGCUCAAAUGCACAGUUGUUUCGAUUUUGAUUCAAUAAAUUGAACACAGAGGGAAAAGUUUCACAGGCUAUGAAAUGUUCAAGUAAAUAAUGUAAGAAGUAAAACAUUUGCAUGUCAUGAAAUUUUUCAAAUGUAAGAUCUAUUUGAUAAAGUAAUAAAAUAAAUAUCUGA